GAACCAUUAGCUCAGCAGGCAGAGCACCUGACUUUUAAUCAGGGUGUCCGGGGUUCGAAUCCCCGAUGGUUCACCA
rnacentral:tRNA from 1 species